UCGGCAACGGAUAUCUCGSUCUCGCAUCGAUGAAGAACGUAGCGAAAUGCGAUACUUGGUGUGAAUUGCAGAAUCCCGUGAACCAUCCGAGUUUUUGAACGCAAGUUGCGCCCGAAGCCAUUAGGCCGAGGGCACGCCUGCCUGGGCCUCGCGCU
rnacentral:rRNA from 1 species